AUUGAACGCUGGCGGCAUGCCUUACACAUGCAAGUCGAACGGCAGCAUGGAGAGCUUGCUUUCUGAUGGCGAGUGGCGAACGGGUGAGUAAUGCAUCGGAACGUACCGUGUAAUGGGAGAUAACGUAGCGAAAGUUACGCUAAUACCGCAUACGACCUACGGGAGAAAGCGGGGGCUCUUCGGACCUCGCGCUAACAGAUGAGCCUAGGUCGGAUUAGCUAGUUGGUGGGGUAAUGGCUCACCAAGGCGACGAUCCGUAACUGGUCUGAGAGGAUGAUCAGUCACACUGGAACUGAGACACGGUCCAGACUCCUACGGGAGGCAGCAGUGGGGAAUAUUGGACAAUGGGCGAAAGCCUGACGGAGCGACGCCGCGUGGAGGACGAAGGCCUUCGGGUUGUAAACUCCUGUCACGAGUUAAGAAGGUCGGCCUACGAACAGUGGGACGAUUUGACGUAAGCUCGAGAGGAAGCACUGGCUAACUCUGUGCCAGCCGCCGCCGUAA
rnacentral:rRNA from 1 species